rnacentral:rRNA from 1 species
AAGCUCGUAGUUGAAUUUCGGGGUUCUUCCGUUGGUCAGGCUAACAAGUCUGUACUAGCGUGUAGAAUCUCUACCUUCUGGGGAACCAUCAUGUUAUUAAUUUAGCGUGGUGGGAAACCAGGACCUUUACCUUGAAAAAAUUAGGGUGUUCAAAGCAGGCUUACGUCUGAAUACAUUAGCAUGGAAUAAUAAAAUAGGACGGUGGUCCUGUUUUGUUGGUUUCUGAAUCACCGUAAUGAUUAAUAGGGAUAGUUGGG